AAAGAGUUUGGCGGUAUCUCAGUCUAGUUAGAGGAGCUUGUUCAGUAAUCGAUAACCCGCGAAAAAUCUUACGAACUUUUGUAGCCAGUUUAUAUACCGUCGUUAUUAGAUAAUAUUAAAAAAUAAAUAAUUAUCCAAAAAUAUUUCAAUAUAAUAUAUCAGAUCAAGGUGUAGCUUAUAAGUACGAGUUGAAUGAGCUACAAUUUUGUCUAUGAAAAUGAAUAUUAAUUUGAAAUAAUUAACUGAAAGUGGAUUUAAUAGUAAUU
rnacentral:rRNA from 1 species